AGAUUUACAUCAUCUACCAGAUGAAUUUAAGCUGUCUGAUGAUAUGGAGCUUCUCUUUGAAUAUUUCGAAUCUGAGUAGCCUCAAAGGCGAUGACCGUUGUUUGAAAUAAUACAGCAACUUGUCUCUGGUGAUGGACUCUCAAACUGUAGAUCAUAUGGAGAUCCAUCUAUCCUACAUACAGUGAGCUUACACGUCCUGCAUCCUCAUUCCUGGUUUUCGGUUGCAUGGUACCCCAUUUAUAGGAUACCCGAUGGCAAUUUGCGUGCUGCUUUCUUGACUUAUCAUUCACUUGGUCAUUUUAUUCACAAAGACCAGACACUAAAAGCCCACAGUGUAGAUGCCUGUGUAGUUUCUCCAAUCGUAGGCCUCCAAAGCUACAACGCUCAGGGUGAAUGCUGGUUUCAGCCAAGGCAAUCUGCUGACGACCUGACAAAACAAUCCUUGGAUAUGGACCUUCAUACAGUUCUGAGAGAUCGACUAAGAACAUUGGAGCAGACAGCAUCUAUUAUGUCACGAGCUGUUACAAAGUUUGGAAAUGACAUGCUCGUGAACAAACAUCCUGAUUAUGAGUUUUUCCUAUCCAGGCUAUGCUAAUUGCUUCUGAUCCUUGUAUUUUCUGUUUGUAAGUUGGUACUCUCUGUAUAUAGCUUAGCGUACUGAUAGGGUCCCCUUUUCAGGAUUGAAAGUAGUGCUUACUGGUUACAGUUAGAACUUAUCGGUGCUUCUUCUUCUAAGUUCUGAAGUCUGAUAUUUGUAGCUUAGAGUUUCGUAAUUCAGCUGUUGUACAUAUUUAGACUCUUGUCUAGUUGGAAUCAAAGAAUGUAGCGUGUAUGAGAUGGUUGUUACGGAUAUAAAGUCAGUACGGUAUUAUUUUUGUGUUUUAA